rnacentral:tRNA from 1 species
CAUAUUAUAGUUUAUAAAAAACCAUGAAUUGCAAGUUCACAAAAAGAUUAACCAUAAUCUUAGUAUGU